CUUACUUAAUAAGGAAAUAAUUAAGAAAAAAUAAGGGAUUCUAAGAGUAAUUAGUUAACCCUAAUUAAUUCACUAAUUACCUAAACAUUAGAAUCCACCCACCUAAUUGACCGUCACUUCCAACUUCACUUUGGAGAAACUACCCUAGAUCUAAUCGCGAUCCCGUCCAGCGGCAAUCGUCUCCAACGCCGCCUUCCAACUUCACUUUGGAGAAACCCUAGAUCUAAUCGGCGAUCUCUUCUCCGGCAAUCGUCUCCUGCUCCGACACCACUGCUUUUGAUAAACUCUUUCAUUGUCUUUUCCUUUCACCGAUCUUCUUUAUGUUUGUGCUAAUAGCGCAGAGGACGGCACCCUCCCCGCAAUGACCGAUGAGAGCGGUGCGGUUUCCGACGGUGCCCUUUCAGUUUCCCCAAAUUUCAGGCGUAUAGGCGAUUUUUCCGACGGAGAUGAUGGAUUAAUCUAGCCGGGCCAAGUUUGACGCAGUCCAAUACCGAUUGACGGUUCGUCGGGACAGUGAGAACUUGCGUUGAGCGUCCUUGAAGAUGCCCCGAGGUGGUGUGCCGUCAACACAAGCCCCCAUAAUAAAUUGGACGACAAGAUUAAUUUUUUGUGUGGGAGACUCCUUUUUGCCCACCAUGACUUCCUUUAAAUCUGUUAGUGUUAGUGUUAGUGUUAGGAAGCAAUUUAAUGUUCAAAAUCUAUUUAUAGAUAUUGCCUCAUCUAUUCUUAAUUCUGCCGCCAAACUUGAAUAUUUCAAAAUGAAAUGGAUGAAAGUUAAAUA